rnacentral:piRNA from 1 species
CUUCAAACGGAACCCCCUUC